CAAUAGCAUAUAUUAAAGUUGUUGCGGUAAAAAAGCUCGUAGUUGGAUUUCUGUUGAGAGCGACCGGUCCAUACCAUGUAUGCGUAUCUGGCUUGCUCUCGGCAUCCUCUCGAUAGACGUUACUGCGCUUGAUUGCGUGGUGCGGAUCUCGGGACUUUUACUUUGAGGAAAUUAGAGUGUUCACGGCAGGCUUUCGCCAGAAUACAUUAGCAUGGAAUAAUACUAUAGGAUCUUGGUUCUAUUUUGUUGGUUUCUAGAAUUGAGAUAAUGAUUAAUAGGGACAAUUGGGGGCAUUCGUAUCAACACGUCAGAGGUGGAAUUCUUGGAUUGUGUUGCGACGAACUACUGCGAAAGCAUUUGCCAAGGAUGUUUUCAUUGA
rnacentral:rRNA from 1 species